rnacentral:rRNA from 1 species
CCCUUAGAUGUUCUGGGCCGCACGCGCGCUACACUGACGAAUGCAACGAGCUUAUAACCUUGGCCGAAAGGUCUGGGUAAUCUCCAAAUUUCGUCGUGAUGGGGAUAGAUUAUUGCAAUUAUUAAUCUUCAACGAGGAAUGCCUAGUAAGCGCAAGUCAUCAGCUUGCGUUGAUUACGUCCCUGCCCUUUGUACACACCGCCCGUCGCUCCUACCGAUUGAAUGGUCCGGUGAAGCGUUCGGACCGUGGCCUUUGGACGGUUCGCCGUCUGUUGGCUUCGGGAAGUUCGUUAAACCUUAUCAUUUAGAGGAAGGAGAAGUCGUAACA